rnacentral:rRNA from 1 species
UACAUGGGGUGCAAACGUUGCUCGGAAUUAUUGGGCGUAAAGCGCGCGUAGGCGGUUACUCAAGUCGGAUGUGAAAGCCCUCGGCUUAACUGAGGAAGUGCACCCGAAACUGAGUAGCUAGAGUACUAAAGAGGGUCGCGGAAUUCCCGGUGUAGAGGUGAAAUUCGUAGAUAUCGGGAGGAACACCGGUGGCGAAGGCGGCGACCUGGGUAGAUACUGACGCUGAGGCGCGAAAGCUGGGGGAGCAAACGGGG